rnacentral:rRNA from 1 species
GACGAACGCUGGCGGCGUGCUUAACACAUGCAAGUCGAACGGAAAGGCCUGCUUUCCCUUGUGGAUUGCGGGUACUCGAGUGGCGAACGGGUGAGUAACACGUGAGUGAUCUGCCCCCAACUUGGGUAUAAGCCUGGGAAACUGGGUCUAAUUCCCGAUAGGACUGCAGGGUGGUGCCUGUGGUGGAAAACGAUUUUCUAGUGGUUGGGGAUGAGCUCGCGGCCUAUCAGCUUGUUGGUGGGGUAAUGGCCUACCAAGGCGGCGACGGGUAGCCGGCCUGAGAGGGUGGACGGCCACAGUGGGACUGAGAUACGGCCCAGACUCCUACGGGAGGCAGCAGUGGGGAAUAUUGCACGAUGGGCGGAAGCCUGAGGCAGCGACGCCGCGUGGGGGAUGACGGCCUUCGGGUGGUAAACUCCUUUCGACCGCGAGGAAGCCACCUGGUUGGAAGGGUGGUGACGGUAGUGGUAGAAGAAGCACCGGCUAACUACGUG